GACAGAGGGGGCAAGCGUUGCUCGGAAUUACUGGGCGUAAAGGGCGCGUAGGCGGGAUGGCAAGUCGGUCGUGAAAACCUGCAGCUUAACUGUGGGCGUGCGGUCGAUACGGGCAUCACUGGAGUUCGGCAGGGGAGACUGGAAUUCCUGGUGUAGCGGUGGAAUGCGCAGAUAUCAGGAGGAACACCGGUGGCGAAGGCGGGUCUCUGGGCAGUAACUGACGCUGAGGAGCGAAAGCGUGGGGAGCGAACAGG
rnacentral:rRNA from 1 species